GCUGGCGAACCAAUCAGUCGUUCUUCAAUUGCGAGCGCGUGCAAACGUACGGUAUAAAAUUAAAUUUUGUCGAUAGAAAUUUUAUUUGGUUGCCGAAAAAUUGUUUGUGUAAUAUUUGUAUUUAUAUGACGAAAGCGAACAUUUAAUUUAGUUGAUUUAUGAAAAAUUUAUUACAUGCAAUAAAUUUACAUUUAAAUUAGGUUAACGGCAGUGGUGUGAGAAAUAUACAAGAAAGAGUGACGUGUGUUACUAGCUAUAGUAUAAAGGUGAAUAUCUAAUAAAAUAAAGAUAAAAAUUAAGUGAAACGAUACAUUUUAUUGUGCCGGGAAAUUACGAAUUGAGUAGCCUUUUAAAAUAGUUGGAAACGGAAAUGCUGGUUGAGUGUAGAAAUUAAGAAAAUUAAAAAAAGCAACUUAUACAAAUAAAAUACUGAUACAUUAACGAACAAAAAUAAAACACUGAUAAAUUAAAAAUCAAUACUAAAAUUUAAACAAAAAAAAAAAACACAAUAAAAUAUAAUAACUAGCUACUCAAUUUGAGUGUUAUUUUCCAACUCAAACAAAAAAUUGAUUCUUUAAUACAAACAAUUGUACGGAAAGUGAUUAAUCAAUGUGAAAAAUAAUUAUUUUAGAUUUUUAAAAAUUAUAGAUAUAAGGUUAUUAAUUCAAAACAAGCAUAAAAACUACAAUAUUAAAAAAAAAAAUUAUUGAUAAAUGUUCCAAAAGGUUUAGCUGCGUGAGAAUAAUGUAAAUUACUCGGUUGAAUGCGGCAUAGUGGUUGUAGUGUAAUAUAAUCAGAGCAUUGUAAAUAGAGUGAGAAACAAGAAUUGAAAUCAAUAUUUUUGUAGAAGUAAACCAGAAAUCUUUAAAAUCUAAAAUAUAAAUUACAACAGUAAAGUAAAAAGAUUUGAAGUUCCAAAACUUGUGUAAAAAAAAUUUAAAAUAAUUAGUAAGCCGCAAAACUGCCAAGCAACCCACUAAACAUAGAAACCAAUAAGUGAUUGUUAAAGAAGAAGUCACUGCAUAAAACGUUUGCAACAAAUGUUCAAUAUUCGUCACCGUUUUACGCGCUGUAAAGGCACACGGGCGAAUUGAAUGACAGUGAGUCACUUAUGUAUGACACGAUCAGCUGUCACUCUAGUUAAACGAAAUCAACACUGCAGUAAAGCUAGCUAUUGCUGCCGGUAGCUCGAGAGGGGCGACAGCAGUAAUUAACGGUGUCAGUUGCAAGCGCUGGACCCUGUCACUGCUCGAACAAUAUAAUUGAGCGCAUAAAUUAGGCAUGUGGAAAAGUGCCGAUUCUCAAAUUUGCUGUGUUGUGUCAAAAGCCAGAGCGUCUACCAAACUACAACAAAAAUAUGUGUAUGAAAUAUAACAAUUACAAAUCAUAGUGCAAACCCCAGCAUAUACGAGUAUAUGUACGUACAUAUGUGUAUGUAUAACCAGCAAAAAGAAAUAGUUGUUUCCAUGUGCAAAUUAAAUAAAUCCAUAAGUGAGUGCCAAAGUAUUUUUCAAUUGCCAAGCAAAAUAACAUAAAAUAUAUUUAUUAUUGCCGACACGCUUGCUUUAAUUUAUUUAUUAGCAAAUAUUAAUAGGCGAAAAGCGAGAGAGGAAGCGCAAGCAAAAAGCAUAGCGCAAAAAAUUUCGGCACACAAAGGCAAACAAACCUCGUGCGAGCAAACAAAACGCUGGCAAAGCAAUCAAACAGAAAUCAACAAACGCCAGUAAUAAAUGAAUUUGUGCAGCAAGUGCAAAGGCAAAACGCGUCGAAAAGAGUGAGAAGCAAACACCUAAGCGCCAGAGGUCAUUUCAAUUGGCGUUUGAUUUACUCGCUUGCGAAAUUCCAUAAAAAUUCAAUAAGAAUCAUAUUUUCGCUCGAUCAAGUAGUGUCUUAAUGCUGACACUGACGUGAAACGUGUGCGACUGAGCGUGUUAGUGUAAAAUGCAAAAGUGUUAAAGCUGCUAAAUUUUUCAUAAACUAAAAGUUAAGAAAAAAAAAUAAAAAUAUAAAAAAAAUUUAAAGCCGUGUUUAAAAAAAAUUUUGAAAUUUAUUACAAUUAAAUUUGAGCUUUUGCUCUUCCGGCAAAUAACACGUAAUUAGUUACUUUAACGGCAUCUUCAAAUCAAUAAAUAUGGCAACUCGAAAGGAUGCUUAUCACAUUACUUGGCUGCUUUUGGCGCUGUUGGUGCUCGAAGUGAAUUGCAAUGAAUCGGCAGGCGAUCUCCUGCCGCAUCCCUGCUACAAUGUUAAAUGUCCGCCGAUGUCCGAAAUGACCUGUCCACCGGACAGCAGUCUGCGCGAAAUGCUCAACAGCAUCGAAGUGCAACAGAUCACCGCAGCGCCCACCAAUGCCGCCGACGCCAUGAUCUACAAUACCACCGAAAUCGAUGAAGACAUCUAUGCCGAGUGCUGUCUGACCAAAAAGUGCAUCUGCAAGACCUGCUACAUACCCGACUGUCAUGGUGAAGAUGAAGUGGUAGUCGAGCUGUUGCCCGAAUCGAUGAACAAACCCGGUCAAUGUUGCGGCGAGUAUGAAUGUCAGCAGAAACCGAAGUGCACAGCGGACGAUGAUAGCGAACUGUAUUGGUUGAAGGGUUGUCAACGUUGCCACUGUUUUGCGGGCAAACCCAUGUGCAUACAAAUCUGCGAUGAGGCCGUGAAUAAGACCAAAGCCAUUUGCAAGCCAGAAAAAUUGAAUGCGCUCUUUGAGCAUGGCGAAAGCUGGCGUGUCGGCUGCUAUGAAUGCGAAUGCAUCGAUGGCGUUGAGAAGUGCGUGCUGCCAUUCUGCAGCAAUGUGGAUUGUCCGCAGGAACGUCAAGUGACGCUGAAAGAUGGCUGCUGCCCUAUUUGUUGGCCCGAUUGUGCGCCAAUGCCAAAGGAACUGCUUAGCGGACGCAAUAGUGUGCACGGUAAAUACGGCAAUAGUCCACGGGCUUACGAUGACGAGGAGGAAGAUGAUGAAGGUCUGGCUGACGAUUUCGUUGAUGAUCCAAAUAGUGCCCCACGUAGUUUGGAUUAUGCUGGCGAAAAUGAAAUUGAUCCAUUGUCAGAUAUACAGUUGGGCGAAGCAGCGGCAGCGAAGCCACCGCAUAACACAACCGCAGAAGCGCAAACCACUACAAAUGCCGCCAUCUCCUUAACAACAACAACCACAGUAACAGUCAAAACCACCGCCAGCCCUGCAAGCCAAUCGAGCUCCACUUUAGCUCCAGCCGAAUACUUGCCCAUAGCGCCAACCACGGCAGCAGCUUCUGAAUCGCCAGCCGUGGCGCUUGCCAGUGAACCUGCCAUAGCCACAGCUUGCCCGCCUGCUCUGGCUUCACGUCACGAUGUCCAGGCCUCCUUCCAGCUUUACCCCGAUGAAGACGACGUCAUGCCGGCAGUUAAAGUCAUCUCUGAAUCGUGCAAGCAUUGGAUGAUUUAUAUUGUUAUCGGCAUUUUGGUCGCCUUCAUUGCGGUGCUGAUAGCUUGGAUUAUACAGUUGCGGUUGAAGCAGCGCUCCUAUCGACCGGUCUCGCACAUCGACGACAAUUUCAAUAAGAUGUCCUGUAAUAUCAAGCAAACAAAUGCUUAUGUUUAGAUGCAAGAGAGUAAUAUACUUAUAUGUAAUGGAAAGAUACGAGUGUGAGAACGUAAAACUGUUUAUACAGAGCAAAUAUUUAUAUGGGUGUUCUUUCGGAGCCUGAUUCACGGCAGUAAAAUUUAGUGUAACGUUUAGAACAAUAACAACGAUAUAAAGUUUUAAGAUUUCUUAGAUGUUAGAAUUAUAACCUCAUUUUUACUCAGAUAGAAGAGGGAUCACUUCAUAAAAAAAUCUCUUUUUAAAGCAUGAAAUCACAAAAAUGAGCUGAGCAAUUUUUUUGGACCUUUUACUGUCAGUCCUCAAGAGCAAAGACUAACGUAGUUACAGCAGCCGACGUCAUACCAUACAUAAUAUAUUUUUCACAGAAAAGGUUUUGGGUUCAGAUCAGACAUAAAAUCUUCCUCAAUAAUGUCGGAAGAUUUGGUCGCAUAUAAAUGAAAUAAAUUACAAGUAUCGCGGAACUUUAGCUCCCCUGAAUUGGUACUUUGGGCAAGCCCGUAAUCGCUCCGGCAAGCAUAAGUUGUAAAGCCAUUUUAGUAAAACGUAACAUUGCGUCCAAAAAUUCUUCAAAAAAUUGCUCAACACACCUACAUUCAUACAUACAACAUCAAUAAAUUCAUAAAAUUUUAAACUUAAAAUUUUUCGUUCAGAAUUUCCAACAUAUUUCGCAUAUCGUAGAGAAAAGAUCUCAAUUUUUAAUUUUGAUAACAUUUUUGUUUUAUACAAAAAAAAUUUUAGGUUCUUCAUUAUACCCCAUAUACAUAGCAAAAUCAUAAUAUUCAUCUAAGAAAAAUCAAUUUAUACACAAAUAAUUUGUAUGCAUAUUUUUGACUAAAAGUAUUGAAAACAAUUUUUAUUUACUAUAAAAAUACUUUUAAUUUAAAAAUAUUUUUUUUUUAUUAUAAAUGUCUGUCUAUUUAGCACUUUAGUUAAAAAAAUAUAUUUGCUUUAUUAAAAUAUAAUAAUAUUAUUCAUAGUUUUAUUUUUCAUUUAAAUAAAAAAUAUUUUUUUUUUUAUUAUUUUAAGGGUUUUUAAUUGACAUUGAUAUAAUUUAUAUGCUAAAAGUCUAAAUAUAUUUUUUUAAUAUUGAAAAUAACAAAAUACCGUUUUAUCAUACCAAGAGAUUAAAUAUUUCAAAUUUUAUAUAUUGAGUUUUUAUGCAAAAAUUAAGUUUUGAAUUAGAAAGAUAUACAAUUUGAGCAGACACUUAUUAUAUCAGUAUAAGAUUUAAAAUACCUUUGUUAUAGUAUUAAUAUACUUACAACCAGUCUAUUUGGAACCCAUAUUUAUCAAAGAGAUUCAGGCUGGCUUAUGUGCGAGGGUUUGUGUACUUGCUAUAUACAUAUGGCUCUAGUGAGCAGGAAUACCAUAAAUAAUAUGUUACAAAUAAUGCAGCAUAGAAAUCUCGAAUUCGUGAAAAUAUAUCGAUUAAUCGACAGUUUUAAUCGAUUUUCAAUUUUGAUAUUGGUAAAAUUUUUUACAUUCAUUUGAUAUGGUAUAACUUUAUGGUCAAGGCAAAUUCUUUAUUAAUCAAAAUUGUUUAUUCAAAAAUAAUCUAGUUUUAAUAAAUUAUGAAAUUUUAGUGCGAUACUUAUCGACACAUCAUAUGGCAUAACGAACAGUAAAAAUGAUUUAUUUAAAUUUGUCUCAAACUUAUUGAUUGGAAAAGCGAUCAUUUUUAUAUCAACUGAUAUUGUUUAUUUGUGUACCAAUACCGAUAAAAUUUAUCGUUUUUAAAUUUUUAGUGAAAAUUGCAUAACAUACAUCAUUUCGCAAAUAAAUCGAUAAAUUAUCUGGCAAAGCUCGAUAUUUAAUAGUUUGUCAGAUAUAUCAAUAAUAUUUAUAUUAGCAUAAUCUAAAAAUGCAAACUGAAAUAUUAAUAUAACAAUAUUACAAAUAUUGAUAGUUACUUUUUAUGUAAUCUAAAAAUGCAUUCAAACUGAGAUGUAAUUGUAUCGAGUAUUUAACGAAAAAAUAUCGAUAUUAAAUUUUUAUCCAAAAAUGCGUUCAACAGACAUGUUUAAAUUGCGAUUAUUUAUUGUAAAAAUGUCGAUAUUUAGUUUUUUGUCAGAUUUAUCGAUAACUUUAAUAUUAACAAAAACUAAAACUUAAUGUACAGCCAGAAAAAAAAAUUGAAUGCAGUAAUUUUUGAACAAAAAAUAUUCAACUCAAUCUUUUUUUAAAUCGGUUUCUAUGGUAUAAUCAUCAUCAUCAUCAGCAAGAUAGAAAUAUAGACACAGGCCAGUAUGAACUCGAAAAAUUUGAAUUAAAAAAAAACAUUACUCAAAACAAAAUAAUUGUAUACAUUAAUAAUGCGAAGGAUAUUUAACAUUUUUUUUUUUUUAAAUAAAUCUACUUUCUAUACUAAGUAUUGAUAGUCUUUAUUUAUAGAAAUUAAAUAGAGCAAAUGGCUUAAGAACAUUUACGAGUAUAUGGUGUGCAUACAUAAAAAAAUUGUAUAAAAUUUAGCUGAAGAAGUACACACUAUGUAUUUAUGUGAUAUUUGUUAGUAAGUGAUGCAAACAGUUAAGAAAUGUUCAAUAUAAAUUAUUGAAACUAUAAGUAAUGCAUAAACCAGGCAUAAAUCAAAUGAAAUGGGUAACAUUGUAUACGCAAACGAAAAUGUUUUCGAGCGUUAGAAUUUUUAGAAACGACGCUGAAAUGCUGAACGAACGAACACUUUUAAUUUAAUUACUAUUUUUAGUCUAGUAGAAUAUGUAAGGCUUAGCUUAGUUUUCAAUUACUAUUACUUAGAAAUUAAGUGUGAAAAAAUACCAGCUAUAUAUUUGAAGAAAAUAAAAAUAAAGAUAAAACAAAAUACAAAAUGAAA